GUCGUGACUGCGUGCCUUUUGAAGAAUGAGCCUGCGAGUUAGCGGUGUGUAGCGAGGUUAACCCGUGUGGGGAAGCCGUAGCGAAAGCGAGUCCGAAUAGGGCGAUUGAGUUGCACGCUCUAGACCCGAAGCGGAGUGAUCUAGCCAUGGGCAGGUUGAAGCGGAGGUAAGACUUCGUGGAGGACCGAACCCACCAGGGUUGAAAACCUGGGGGAUGACCUGUGGUUAGGGGUGAAAGGCCAAUCAAACUCCGUGAUAGCUGGUUCUCCCCGAAAUGCAUUUAGGUGCAGCGUCGUGUGUUUCUUGCCGGAGGUAGAGCACUGGAUAGGCGAUGGGCCCUACCGGGUUACUGACCUUAGCCAAACUCCGAAUGCCGGUAAGUGAGAGCACGGCAGUGAGACUGUGGGGGAUAAGCUCCAUGGUCGAGAGGGAAACAGCCCAGAGCAUCGACUAAGGCCCCUAAGCGUACGCUAAGUGGGAAAGGAUGUGGAGUCGCAGAGACAACCAGGAGGUUGGCUUAGAAGCAGCCACCCUUGAAAGAGUGCGUAAUAGCUCACUGGUCAAGUGAUUCCGCGCCGACAAUGUAGCGGGGCUCAAGCGUACCGCCGAAGUCGUGUCAUUGCAGCAAUAGGGCCAACGCCCGCUGUGAUGGGUAGGGGAGCGUCGUGUGCCGGGUGAAGCAGCAGCGGAAGCUAGUUGUGGACGGUUCACGAGUGAGAAUGCAGGCAUGAGUAGCGAUACACACGUGAGAAACGUGUGCGCCGAUUGACUAAGGGUUCCUGGGUCAAGCUGAUCUGCCCAGGGUAAGUCGGGACCUAAGGCGAGGCCGACAGGCGUAGUCGAUGGACAACCGGUUGAUAUUCCGGUACCCGCUUUGAAACGCCCAAUAUCGAAUCAGGCGAUGCUAAGUCCGUGAAGCCGUUCCGGACCCUUCGGGGAAAGGAAAGUGGUGGAGCCGACGAACCAGACUUGUAGUAGGUAAGCGAUGGGGUGACGCAGGAAGGUAGUCCAGCCCGGGCGGUGGUUGUCCCGGGGUAAGGGUGUAGGCCGAGGGGUAGGCAAAUCCGUCCCUCAUAUAAGGCUGAGACCUGAUGCCGAGCCGAUUGUGGUGAAGUGGAUGAUCCUAUGCUGUCGAGAAAAGCCUCUAGCGAGUUUCAUGGCGGCCCGUACCCUAAACCGACUCAGGUGGUCAGGUAGAGAAUACCGAGGCGUUCGGGUGAACUAUGGUUAAGGAACUCGGCAAAAUGCCCCCGUAACUUCGGGAGAAGGGGGGCCAUCACUGGUGAAGGAACUUGCUUCCUGAGCUGGGGGUGGCCGCAGAGACCAGCGAGAAGCGACUGUUUACUAAAAACACAGGUCCGUGCGAAGCCGUAAGGCGAUGUAUACGGACUGACGCCUGCCCGGUGCUGGAACGUUAAGGGGACCGGUUAGUGCGCUUUCGGGCGUGCGAAGCUGAGAACUUAAGCGCCAGUAAACGGCGGUGGUAACUAUAACCAUCCUAAGGUAGCGAAAUUCCUUGUCGGGUAAGUUCCGACCUGCACGAAUGGCGUAACGACUUCUCGACUGUCUCAACCAUAGGCCCGGUGAAAUUGCACUACGAGUAAAGAUGCUCGUUUCGCGCAGCAGGACGGAAAGACCCCGGGACCUUUACUACAGUUUGAUAUUGGUGUUCGGUUCGGCUUGUGUAGGAUAGGUGGGAGACUGUGAAACCCCAACGCCAGUUGGGGUGGAGUCAUCGUUGAAAUACCACUCUGGUCGUGCUGGAUGUCUAACCUCGGUCCGUGAUCCGGAUCAGGGACAGUGUCUGAUGGGUAGUUUAACUGGGGCGGUUGCCUCCCAAAGGGUAACGGAGGCGCCCAAAGGUUCCCUCAGCCUGGUUGGCAAUCAGGUGUUGAGUGUAAGUGCACAAGGGAGCUUGACUGUGAGACCGACGGGUCGAGCAGGGACGAAAGUCGGGACUAGUGAUCCGGCGGUGGCUUGUGGAAGCGCCGUCGCUCAACGGAUAAAAGGUACCCCGGGGAUAACAGGCUGAUCUUCCCCAAGAGUCCAUAUCGACGGGAUGGUUUGGCACCUCGAUGUCGGCUCGUCGCAUCCUGGGGCUGGAGUCGGUCCCAAGGGUUGGGCUGUUCGCCCAUUAAAGCGGUACGCGAGCUGGGUUUAGAACGUCGUGAGACAGUUCGGUCCCUAUCCGCUGUGCGCGUAGGAAUAUUGAGAAGGGCUGUCCCUAGUACGAGAGGACCGGGACGGACGAACCUCUGGUGUGCCAGUUGUCCUGCCAAGGGCAUGGCUGGUUGGCUACGUUCGGGAGGGAUAACCGCUGAAAGCAUCUAAGCGGGAAGCCUGCUUCAAGAUGAGUAUUCCCACCUCCUUGAGAGGGUAAGGCUCCCAGUAGACGACUGGGUUGAUAGGCCAGAUGUGGAAGCCCGGUAACGGGUGAAGCUGACUGGUACUAAUAGGCCGAGGGCUUGUCCUC
rnacentral:rRNA from 1 species